rnacentral:rRNA from 1 species
GAGAAUAGGCCCAAGCGACUGUUUACCAAAAACACAGGUCUGUGCGAAGUAGAGAUACGACGUAUACGGGCUGACGCCUGCCCAGUGCCGGAAGGUUAAGGGGAAGUGUUAGGGCAACCGAAGCACGGAACUUAAGCCCCGGUGAACGGCGGCCGUAACUAUAACGGUCCUAAGGUAGCGAAAUUCCUUGUCGGGUAAGUUCCGACCCGCACGAAUGGCGUAACGACUUGGGCACUGUCUCAACAAGGGACCCGGCGAAAUUGUAGUAUGUGUGAAGAUGCACAUUACCCGCGAUAGGACGGAAAGACCCCGUAGAGCUUUACUGUAGUUUAACAUUGGAUUUUGAUAACACAUGUACAGGAUAGGUGGGAGGCUGAGAAACCGGCACGCCAGUGCCGAUGGAGCCGCUGUUGGGAUACCACUCUUGUGUUAUUGGAGUUCUAACGAAGUGCCGUAAACCGGGCUUCGGACAGUGUUAGAUGGGCAGUUUGACUGGGGCGGUCGCCUCCGAAAGAGUAACGGAGGCGUCCAAAGGUUCCCUCAGAAUGGUUGGAAACCAUUCACAGAGUGCAAAGGCAGAAGGGAGCUUGACUGCGAGACCGACAGGUCGAGCAGGUACGAAAGUAGGGCUUAGUGAUCCGGCGGUAUGAGAGUGGAAUUGCCGUCGCUCAACGGAUAAAAGCUACCUCGGGGAUAACAGGCUUAUCUCCCCCAAGAGUCCACAUCGACGGGGAGGUUUGGCACCUCGAUGUCGGCUCGUCGCAUCCUGGGGCUGGAGCAGGUCCCAAGGGUUUGGCUGUUCGCCAAUUAAAGCGGCACGCGAGCUGGGUUCAGAACGUCGUGAGACAGUUCGGUCCCUAUCCAUCGUGGGCGCAGGAGAUUUGAGAGGAGCUGUCCUUAGUACGAGAGGACCGGGAUGGACGCACCAAGGGUGAAUCAGUUGUCGUGCCAACGGCACAGCUGGGUAGCCAAGUGCGGAUCGGAUAAACGCUGAAGGCAUCUAAGCGUGAAGCCGACCUCAAGAUAAGAUCUCCCAUCCGAAAGGAGUAAGACCCCAUGAAGACCACAUGGUUGAUAGGCCGGAGGUGGAAGUGCAGUAAUGUACGGAGCUGACCGGUACUAAUAGGUCGAGGGCUUGAUCGA